GACAGAGGUCCCAAGCGUUAGGCGGAAUCACUGGGCUUAAAGCGUGUGUAGGCGGACUUGUAAGUACCUUGUGAAAUCCCACGGCUCAACCGUGGAACUGCUGGGUAUACUGCGAGUCUUGAGCCACCUAGGGGCGAGCGGAACAAGUGGUGGAGCGGUGAAAUGCGUAGAUAUCACUUGGAACGCCAAUGGUGAAAACAGUCUCGCUGGGGGUGUGCUGACGCCUGGAGACGCGAAGCCAGGGGAGCGAACGGG
rnacentral:rRNA from 1 species